GCGUGGAUGAUGAAGGCCUUCGGGUUGUAAAGUCCUUUUGGUGGGGACGAUGAUGACGGUACCCACCGAAUAAGCCCCGGCUAACUUCGUGCCAGCAGCCGCGGUAAUACGAAGGGGGCUAGCGUUGUUCGGAAUUACUGGGCGUAAAGGGCGCGUAGGCGGCUUCAACAGUCGGGCGUGAAAUGCCUGGGCUUAACCCAGGAACUGCGUUCGAAACUGCGAGGCUAGAGUGUGGGAGAGGAUGGUGGAAUUCCCAGUGUAGAGGUGAAAUUCGU
rnacentral:rRNA from 1 species